CCUACGGGAGGCAGCAGUGGGGAAUAUUGGACAAUGGGGGGAACCCUGAUCCAGCCAUGCCGCGUGUGUGAAGAAGGCCCUCGGGUUGUAAAGCACUUUCAGUGAGGAAGAACGCCUGGUGGUUAAUACCCAUCAGGAAAGACAUCACUCACAGAAGAAGCACCGGCUAACUCCGUGCCAGCAGCCGCGGUAAUACGGAGGGUGCGAGCGUUAAUCGGAAUUACUGGGCGUAAAGCGCGCGUAGGUGGCUUGAUAAGCCGGUUGUGAAAUCCCCGGGCUCAACCUGGGAACGGCAUCCGGAACUGUCAAGCUAGAGUGCAGGAGAGGAAGGUAGAAUUCCCGGUGUAGCGGUGAAAUGCGUAGAGAUCGGGAGGAAUACCAGUGGCGAAGGCGGCCUUCUGGACUGACACUGACACUGAGGUGCGAAAGCGUGGGUAGCAAACAGGAUUAGAUACCCUUGUAGUC
rnacentral:rRNA from 1 species